UACGUAGGGGGCAAGCGUUGUCCGGAUUUAUUGGGCGUAAAGAGCGUGUAGGCGGCCAAGCAGGUCAGCUGUGAAAACUCGGGGCUCAACCUCGAGACGUCGGUUGAAACCGUUUGGCUAGAGUCCGGAAGAGGAGAGUGGAAUUCCCGGUGUAGCGGUGAAAUGCGCAGAUAUCGGGAAGAACACCCGUGGCGAAGGCGGCUCUCUGGGACGGUACUGACGCUGAGACGCGAAAGCGUGGGGAGCGAACAGG
rnacentral:rRNA from 1 species